rfam:Brassica napus, WGS project CCCW01000000 data, contig: 24904
CCGACCUUCGCUCAGUUGGUAGAGCGGAGGACUGUAGUAGCUGCAGAAUAUCCUUAGGUCACUGGUUCGAAUCCGGUAGGUCUGA